rnacentral:rRNA from 1 species
AGUGAACGCUGGCGGUAGGCCUAACACAUGCAAGUCGAACGGCAGCACAGUAAGAGCUUGCUCUUACGGGUGGCGAGUGGCGGACGGGUGAGGAAUACAUCGGAAUCUACUUUUUCGUGGGGGAUAACGUAGGGAAACUUACGCUAAUACCGCAUACGACCUACGGUUGAAAGCAGGGGAUCUUCGGACCUUGCGCGAUUGAAUGAGCCGAUGUCGGAUUAGCUAGUUGGCGGGGUAAAGGCCCACCAAGGCGCCGAUCCGUAGCUGGUCUGAGAGGAUGAUCAGCCACACUGGAACUGAGACACGGUCCAGACACCGAGGGGAGGCAGAGGUGGGGAAUAUUGGACAAUGGGGGCAAGCCUGAUCCAGCCAUACCGGGUGGGUGAAGAAGGCCUUCGGGUGGUAAAGCCCUUUUGUGGGGAAAGAAAGGCAGCAGGUUAAUACCCCGCUGUUCGAACGGUACCCAAAGAAAAAGAACCGGCUAACUUCGU